GAUGUUGGGUUAAGUCCCGCAACGAGCGCAACCCUUGUCUUUAGUUGCCAUCAUUAAGUUGGGCACUCUAGAGAGACUGCCAGGGAUAACCUGGAGGAAGGUGGGGAUGACGUCAAAUCAUCAUGCCCCUUAUGCUUAGGGCUACACACGUGCUACAAUGGGUAGUACAGAGGGUUGCCAAGCCGUAAGGUGGGGCUAAUCCCUUAAAGCUACUCUCAGUUCGGAUUGUAGGCUGAAACUCGCCUACAUGAAGCUGGAGUUACUAGUAAUCGCAGAUCAGAAUGCUGCGGUGAAUGCGUUCCCGGGUCUUGUACACACCGCCCGUCACACCACGGGAGUUGGAGACGCCCGAAGCCGAUUAUCUAACCUUUUGGAAGAAGUCGUCGAAGGUGGAAUCAAUAACUGGGGUGAAGUCGUAACAAGGUAGCCGUAUCGGAAGGUGCGGCUGGAUCACCUCCUUUCUAAGGAGA
rnacentral:rRNA from 1 species